rnacentral:lncRNA from 1 species
GAACAUUCAUAAUAUGUAAUUUUCAUUGAUCAAUAUGUAAUUUUCAUUGGACAUUCAUUUUCUUCUUCAAACGCCUAGUAGGGGUCAUUUGUUUUUUGUUUUUCAACGGCCUUCCUAUAAAGUAGCUUCAGUGCUUUGGUUUUGAAGUUUUUGAACCGUGAGAAGGGCACAUUUCUAACGCUAGACUCUUGUUCUUCUUUUGCUUUUUUGAGUUUCUCAGCCGGAUUGGGUUUGGGUUUAAAAAUAAUAUCAAAUAUACCAAACACGAAAUAUACCAAACACGAUGAGAAGAACCAGAAGAAAAACUAUACCCCAGAUCCAGAAGGGGCUCCCAACAUAACCAUGCUCCAUCGCCGUCAGCCGAGCCAAAGAUAUUUCAUCCACGCAGGGGAUGGCGGUGACGCCGCAGUGAAGUUGAGUUGGUGUGUUGGCGGCGGUGGAAUGGGCGGCGGUGGAGUGGUUGCUCGGUUAGGGGGGAAAAGAUCAACCAACCCACUGGUGGUGACAUAACCCGUGGCCGUCAGCCGAGCCAAAAUCCACGCAGGGGAUGGCGGUGACGCCACAGUAAAGUUGUGGUGUGUUGGCGGCGGUGGUGUGGCCGGCGGAGAUAACCAACUCACUGGCCAGAGGAGUGGUGGUGGCAGCUGCGGCGGUGGUGGCAGUUGCGGUGGCGGUGGAGGCGGUCAGCAAGAAACAAAUGAG